AUGAAAGUGCUGCACUCAAUUUGCCAGCAAAUUUGGAAAACUCAGCAGUGGCCACAGGACUCGAAAAGGUCAGUUUUCAUACCAAUUCCAAAGAAAGGCAAUGUCAAAAAAUGUUUAAAUUACCGCACAAUUGCACUCAUCUCACACGCUAGUAAAGUACUGCUCAAAAUUCUCCAAGCCAGGCUUCAGCAGUACAUGAACUGUGAACUUCCAGAUGUUCAAGCUGGUUUAGGAAAAGGCAGAAGAACCAGAGAUCAAAUUGCCAACAUUUGCUGGAUCAUCAAAAAAGCACGAAAGUUCCAGAAAAACAUCUAUUUCUGCUUUAUUUACUAUGCCAAAGCCUUUGACUGUGUGGAUCACAAUAAACUAUGGAAAAUUCUGAAAGAGAUGGGAAUACCAGACCACCUGACGUGCCUUCUGAGAAAUCUGUAUGCAGGUCAGGAAGCAACAGUUAGAACUGGACAUGGAACAACAGACUGGUUCCAAAUAGGAAAAGGAGUACAUCAAGGCUGUAUAUUGUCACCCUGCUUAUUUAACUUAUACGCAGAGUACAUCAUAAGAAAUGCUGGGCUGGAAGAAGCACAAGCUGGAAUCAAGAUUUCCAGGAGAAAUAUCAAUAACCUCAGAUAUGCAGAUGACACCACUCUUAUGGCAGAAAGUGAAGAAGAACUAAAGAGGCUAAAGAGCCUCUUGAUGAAAGUGAAAGAGGAGAGUGAAAAAGUUGGCUUAAAGCUCAACAUUCAGAAAACGAAGAUCAUGGCAUCUGGUCCCAUCACUUCAUGGCAGACAGAUGGGGAAACAGUGGCUGACUUUAUUUUGGGGGGCUCCAAAAUCACUGCAGAUGGUGAUUGCAGCCAUGAAAUUAAAAGACGCUUACUCCUUGGAAGGAAAGUUAUGACCAACCUAGACAGCAUAUUAAAAAGCAGAGUAAUGACUUUGCCAAUAAAGGUCCGUGUAGUCAAGGCUAUGGUUUUUCCAGUGGUCAUGUAUGGAUGUGAGAGUUGGACUAUAAAGAAAGCUGAGCACCAAAGAAUUGAUGCUUUUGAACUGUGGUUUUGGAGAAAACUCUUGAAAGUCCCUUGGACUGCAAGGAAAUCCAACCAGUACAUCCUAAAGAAGAUCAGUCUUGGGUGUUCAUUGGAAGGACUGAUGUUGAAGCUGAACCUCCAAUACUUUGGCCACAUGAUGCGAAGAGCUGACUCAUUGGAAAAGACUCUGAUGCUGGGAAAGAUUGAGAGCAGGAGGAGAAUAGGACAACAGAGGAUGAGAUGGUUGGAUGGCAUCAUCGACUUGAUGGGCAUGGGUUUGGGUGGACUCUGGGAGUUGGUGAUGGACAGGGAGGCCUGGCGUGCUGUGGUUCAUGGGGUCGCAAAGAGUCGGACACGACUGAGCGACUGA
rnacentral:lncRNA from 1 species